ensembl:snRNA U6 U6 spliceosomal RNA
GUGCUGGUUUCAGCAACACAAGUACUAAAAUUGGAAUAACAUGGGGAAGAUUAGCAUAGCCCCUGUGCAAGGAAAACAUGCAACUCAUGAGGCAUUACAUAUUGGG